rnacentral:rRNA from 1 species
AUGGGCGCAGCCUGAUGCAGCCAUGCCGCGUGUGUGAAGAAGGCCUUCGGGUUGUAAAGCACUUUCAGUGGGGAGGAAGGGCAUUAGGUUAAUACCUUUGUGUUUUGACGUUACCCACAGAAUAAGCACCGGCUAACUCCGUGCCAGCAGCCGCGGUAAUACGA